GGCGAACGGGUGUAGUAACACGUGGGCAACCUGCCCUCAGCUCUGGGACAACUCCGGGAAACCGGGGCUAAUACCGGAUACGACCGCUUCCCUGCAUGGGAUGGUGGUGGAAAGAUUUAUCGGCUGGGGAUGGGCCCGCGGCCUAUCAGCUUGUUGUUGGGGUGAUGCCUACCAAGGCGACGACGGGUAGCCGGCCUGAGAGGGCGACCGGCCACACUGGGACUGAGACACGGCCCAGACUCCUACGGGAGGCAGCAGUGGGGAAUAUUGCGCAAUGGGCGGUAAGCCUGACGCAGCGACGCCGCGUGAGGGAUGAAGGCCUUCGGGUUGUAAACCUCUUUCAGCAGGGACGAAGCGGGAGUGACGGUACCUGCAGAAGAAGCACCGGCCAACUACGUGCCAG
rnacentral:rRNA from 1 species